CACAGAUGUUGGACAUUGACGUGUAUUUCUAUAAGAAAGUAGUGGCAUAUCGUAUGCAUUUUGAGCUGAAUAAAUGCAAAGAGCAUUACAUAGAUUGCGUUAAUGUUAGAACAUUCGAUGUCGUUAAUUUGUGUGGCAAUGAAAAUGCUGUUCAAUUUUUUUAUAGUGCAGAUUAUAAUAACCGAGAGAUUACCUGUGAACUCCAAGGCGAACACAUUAUUAAAAAUAUAAGUUAUAACAAGGAGAAUGUAAUUCCAUUGUUUUUUACAUUGUCAGACAAAUGGUGGGAACUAUCAUACAAAUGGAGAAUCUCGUAUUAUAACAGAGAAAAUGAUUUUAUAUUAAAGUUAAUUGGCGCUAACGAAAUGAUUACAUAUAGAAAGCGAAAUCGAAAUC